rnacentral:rRNA from 1 species
AGUGAACGCUGGCGGUAGGCCUAACACAUGCAAGUCGAACGGCAGCACAGUAAGAGCUUGCUCUUACGGGUGGCGAGUGGCGGACGGGUGAGGAAUACAUCGGAAUCUACUUUUUCGUGGGGGAUAACGUAGGGAAACUUACGCUAAUACCGCAUACGACCUACGGGUGAAAGCAGGGGAUCUUCGGACCUUGCGCGAUUGAAUGAGCCGAUGUCGGUUUAGCUAGUUGGCGGGGUAAAGGCCCACCAAGGCGACGAUCCGUAGCUGGUCUGAGAGGCUGAUCAGCCACACUGGAACUGAGACACGGUCCAGACUCCUACGAGAGGCAGCAGUGGGGAAUAGUAGACAAUGGGCGCAAGCCUGAUCCAGCCAUACCGAGUGGGUGAAGAAGGCCUUCGGGUUGUAAAGCCCUUUUGUUGGGAAAGAAAAGCAGCAGGUUAAUACCCCGCUGUUCUGACGGUACCCAAAGAAUAAGCACCGGCUAACUUCGUG